UGGGGAAUAUUGCACAAUGGGCGCAAGCCUGAUGCAGCCAUGCCGCGUGUGUGAAGAAGGCCUUCGGGUUGUAAAGCACUUUCAGCGAGGAGGAAGGGUAGUGUGUUAAUAGCACAUUGCAUUGACGUUACUCGCAGAAGAAGCACCGGCUAACUCCGUGCCAGCAGCCGCGGUAAUACGGAGGGUGCAAGCGUUAAUCGGAAUUACUGGGCGUAAAGCGCACGCAGGCGGUUUGUUAAGUCAGAUGUGAAAUCCCCGCGCUUAACGUGGGAACUGCAUUUGAAACUGGCAAGCUAGAGUCUUGUGGAGGGGGGUAGAAUUCCAGGUGUAGCGGUGAAAUGCGUAGAGAUCUGGAGGAAUACCGGUGGCGAAGGCGGCCCCCUGGACAAAGACUGACGCUCAGGUGCGAAAGCGUGGGGAGCAAACA
rnacentral:rRNA from 1 species